rnacentral:rRNA from 1 species
UACGUAGGCAGCAAGCGUUGUUCGGAUUUACUGGGCGUAAAGGGUGUGUAGGCGGUCUUCUAAGUUUGGUGUGAAAUCUCCCGGCUCAACUGGGAGGGUGCGCCGAAAACUGGGAGGCUAGAGUACUGGAUGGGAGAGUGGAAUUCCUGGUGUAGCGGUGAAAUGCGUAGAUAUCAGGAGGAACACCGGUGGUGUAGACGGCUCUCUGGACAGUAACUGACGCUGAGACACGAAAGCGUGGGUAGCAAACAGG